CGUGUGGUUCUAUUUUGUUGGUUUCUAGGACCGCCGUAAUGAUUAAUAGGGACAGUCGGGGGCAUCAGUAUUCAGUUGUCAGAGGUGAAAUUCUUGGAUCUACUGAAGACUAACUACUGCGAAAGCAUUUGCCAAGGAUGUUUUCAUUGAUAAGGAACGAAAGUUAGGGGAUCGAAGACGAUCAGAUACCGUCGUAGUCUUAACUAUAAACUAUGCCGACUAGGGAUCGGACGAUGUUAUUAUUUGACGCGUUCGGCACCUUUCGAGAAAUCAAAGUGCUUGGGCUCCAGGGGGAGUAUGGUCGCAAGGCUGAAACUUAAAGAAAUUGACGGAAGGGCACCACCAGGGGUGGAACCUGCGGCUUAAUUUGACUCAACACGGGGAAACUCACCAGGUCCAGACACAGUGAGGAUUGACAGAUUGAGAGCUCUUUCUUGAUUCUGUGGGUGGUGGUGCAUGGCCGUUCUUAGUUGGUGGAGUGAUUUGUCUGCUUAAUUGCGAUAACGAACGAGACCUUAACCUGCUAAAUAGCCCGUACUGCUCUGGCAGUUCGCUGGCUUCUUAGAGGGACUAUCGGCUCAAGCCGAUGGAAGUUUGAGGCAAUAACAGGUCUGUGAUGCCCUUAGAUGUCCUGGGCCGCACGCGCGUUACACUGACAGAGUCAGCGAGUACCUCCUUGGCCGGAAGGCCCGGGUAAUCUUGUUAAACUCUGUCGUGC
rnacentral:rRNA from 1 species